rnacentral:rRNA from 1 species
UAGCUGCGAUAAAUAGUGCGAAUUGCAGACGCAUUGAG